GAUGAACGCUGGCGGCGUGCCUAAUACAUGCAAGUCGAGCGAACCACUUCGGUGGUGAGCGGCGAACGGGUGAGUAACACGUAGGUGAUCUGCCCAUCAGACGGGGACAACGAUUGGAAACGAUCGCUAAUACCGGAUAGGACGAAAGUUUAAAGGUGCUUCUGGCACCGCUGAUGGAUGAGCCUGCGGCGCAUUAGCUAGUUGGUGGGGUAAAGGCCUACCAAGGCGACGAUGCGUAGCCGACCUGAGAGGGUGAACGGCCACACUGGGACUGAGAGACGGCCCAGACUCCUGCGGGAGGCAGCAGUAGGGGAUCUUCGGCAAUGGGCGAAAGCCUGACCGAGCAACGCCGCGUGAAUGAUGAAGGCCUUCGGGUUGUAAAAUUCUGUUAUAAGGGAAGAACGACUUAGUAGGAAAUGGCUAGAGUGUGACGGUACCUUAUGAGAAAGCCACGGCUAACUACGUGCCAGCCGCCGCGGUAA
rnacentral:rRNA from 1 species